rnacentral:rRNA from 1 species
UACCGAGGGUGCGAGCGUUAAUCGGAAUUACUGGGCGUAAAGCGUGCGUAGACGGCUAUCUAAGUCGGGUGUGAAAGCCCCGGGCUCAACCUGGGAAUUGCAUUCGAGACUGAAUAGCUAGGGUACGGUAGAGGGAAGUGGAAUUUCCGGUGUAGCGGUGAAAUGCGUAGAUAUCGGAAGGAACAUCAGUGGCGAAAGCGACUUCCUGGACCAGUACCGACGUUCAGGCACGAAAGCGUGGGGAGCAAACAGG